CCUCGUAUUAUCUUUCUAUGCUUGAUCUCAUAGCAAUGCUGUCUGUGUGGAUGGAAGGCACUGAAGUCCCUCCACCCAAGUUGUAAAAGCCUUUCCUAACUUUUAUGGGAAUUAAAACCAGUGCAUCUGGAAUGGGCACAUGUGGAGAUGCUCUGUCAUGCACUGUGCCAUAUCUUCUGAUGCUACCUCAAUAUGCUGUGUCCUAGGGGCAGCAGAACACAGAGGGGCACGCACAGCAACCUUGGACAGCCACAGAGAGGAGACAGAACCAGCCAGCCCCAGCCAGCCUUGAGGCAGUUACCUUGUGCACAUUACUUCACCUGGUGCCAAUGAAGUACAACUCAGCUCCUUCUGGAGACCAGGGAAGAUGGAGGUGUGGACAGGCGCCUGCUGGGUGUGUGGUCACAGAGAGCAGGAAUCUGAACAUCCACCUGCCUGACUCCAGAGCAGGUUCUGGGAUUGUGUCCUGGCAGCAGGCAGCACCCUGCCCACAUGGGCAGCCAUGGGGACAUCUGCCCCACAUCCUCAGUGACCAUCACCACCCCUUUCAGUUAUCCAUUCUGUUGCCACAGUUUGACCUUUAUGACACCUGCACUUCUGGAAUGUUCCAUCUAGGAGUCUGAAUUACUCACCCUACCCAGUCACCUUCCAAAGUAUGAACUCUGGACACCAGCUCCUGGGAGGCAAUGAUGUCGACUCCUGAGCUUUGAAGGAUGAGUAUCUGAAGGAUCAGGUCCCUGUCUAGCAGCAGGAAGCUGAGCAGACAGGAAGUGUUUCUGUCCAUCAGCAAGAAGACUAUCAGGAGCUGCACUUUGGAAGGUGGAGAUGCCAGUGCUUGGAUCUGCAGGCUUACCACCUGCCCUCCCAGCUCUGCUGUUCUGGUCAAGGGUACCCAGGGAGAGGUCCUGCUCUGAAGCUGUGUAGGGACCUGGCUAUCUCUUCUCUGUCUCUGUCACCCCUCACCUUCCUGGACUCUGCUGGCUGAGGAGGAAAGAACCUUGGAUCUGCAGCCUCUGGUCAUGUUCACUUUGCUCUUCCAGCCUGUGGCAGGAAAGACUGGAGAUACCACCUGCUUCUCUCUUGUAAAAUUGGAGGGAGGUUUAGAUCCAUAUUGAAGGGCCCUCCAGAUUCA